rnacentral:rRNA from 1 species
AGUUCGGAUUGUAGGCUGAAACUCGCCUACAUGAAGCUGGAGUUGCUGUAAUCGCGAAUCAGCAUGUCGCGGUGAAUACGUUCCCGGGCCUUGUACACACCGCCCGUCACACCAUGAGAGUUGGCAAUACCCAACGUACGUGAUCUAACCCGCAAGGGAGGAAGCGUCCUAAGGUAGGGUCAGCGAUUGGGGUGAAGUCGUAACAAGGUAUC